AGAGUUUGAUCCCUGGCUCAGAGUGAUCGCUGGCGGUAGGCCUAACACAUGCAAGUCGAACGGCAGCACAGUAAGAGCUUGCUCUUAUGGGUGGCGAGUGGCGGACGGGUGAGGAAUACAUCGGAAUCUACUUUUUCGUGGGGGAUAACGUAGGGAAACUUACGCUAAUACCGCAUACGACCUACGGGUGAAAGCAGGGGAUCUUCGGACCUUGCGCGAUUGAAUGAGCCGAUGUCGGAUUAGCUAGUUGGCGGGGUAAAGGCCCACCAAGGCGACGAUCCGUAGCUGGUCUGAGAGGAUGAUCAGCCACACUGGAACUGAGACACGGUCCAGACUCCUACGGGAGGCAGCAGUGGGGAAUAUUGGACAAUGGGCGCAAGCCUGAUCCAGCCAUACCGCGUGGGUGAAGAAGGCCUUCGGGUUGUAAAGCCCUUUUGUUGGGAAAGAAAUCCAGCUGGUUAAUAACCCGGUUGGGAUGACGG
rnacentral:rRNA from 1 species